GCUCUUCUAUGCUGAUGUAGUUGUUGGCAGAAUUGAGACCCUUCAGUUGUAGACUUGAGGACAGCAGCUCGCUUUCAUAUGACCAUCUGCACUGGCCGUUCACAACAGGACAACUUAAUUCUUCAAGGUCAGAGUGUCUGUCUUCCGGUGUGUGGCAGGGUAUUCGUCACAACAGAGUUGACUGACGCAGACAGGACCAGCUGCAGCCUGGCUCUUACUGGGGAGUGCCUAGAAGGAACAGGAGACAUGAACCUUCUCCAGGUAGAAAUCACCUGCACAAGAACCAACCUAUAGAUAAAGCAAGAAACAUUUAACGACGUGUGCAAAAUACACAAGAA